rnacentral:rRNA from 1 species
CUACGGGCCGCAGCAGGCGAGAAAACUUUGCAAUGUGCGAAAGCACGACAAGGUUAAUCCGAGUGGUUUGUGCUAAACGAACCUUUUGACAGUCCUAGAAACACUGUUGAAUAAGGGGUGGGCAAGUUCUGGUGUCAGCCGCCGCGGUAAAACCAGCACCUCAAGUGGUCAGGAUGAUUAUUGGGCCUAAAGCAUCCGUAGCCGGCUCUGUAAGUUUUCGGUUAAAUCUGUACGCUCAACGUACAGGCUGCCGGGAAUACUGCAGAGCUAGGGAGUGGGAGAGGUAGACGGUACUCGGUAGGAAGGGGUAAAAUCCUUUGAUCUAUUGAUGACCACCUGUGGCGAAGGCGGUCUACCAGAACACGUCCGACGGUGAGGGAUGAAAGCUGGGGGGGCAAACCGGAUUAGAUACCCUCGUAGUC